rnacentral:rRNA from 1 species
GUCUACAGCCAUGCUACUCUGAACAAGCUUAAUCCUGUCAGAUCUCAGUAGCUAAGCAGGAUCAGGGCCUGGUUAAUACUUGGAUGGGAGACCACCUAGGAAGACCAGGUGCUGUAGGUG